AACGAACGCUGGCGGCAGGCUUAACACAUGCAAGUCGAGCGGGUGUCCUGCGGGGCAUCAGCGGCGGAGGGGUUAGUAACGCGGGGGAACGUGCCUUCUGCUCUGGAAUAGCCCUGGGAAACUGGGGGUAAUAUCGUAUGUACCCUGAGGGGGAAAGGUUUAACUGGCAGGAGAUCGGCCCGCGUCUGUUUAGGUAGUUGGUGUGGUAAUGGCGUACCAAGCCGACGAUGGGUAGCUGGUUUGAGAGGAUGAUCAGCAACACUGGGACUGAGACACGGCCCAGACUCCUACGGGAGGCAGCAGUGGGGAAUCUUAGACAAUGGGGGCAACCCUGAUCUAGCCAUGCCGCGUGGGUGAUGAAGGCCUUAGGGUCGUAAAGCCCUUUCGCUGGGGAAGAUAAUGACGGUACCCAGUAAAGAAGCCCCGGCUAACUCCGUGCCAGCCGCCGCCGUAA
rnacentral:rRNA from 1 species